UGUAACGUAGUGCCAGGCUUCAGGAAACCUCUUUUUAACUUAACCAUUUGCACAUUUAGCCUUUAAGGACUGUACUGGAAUAUCUGUAUUUGACACCGAUAACUAUGAAAGAACUAUUAUUUUAUUAUUGCCAACCUAUUUAGGUCAGCAACCAGCAGCACAAAUUGGAAAUCUGGAAAUCUACUAAAUCAGUCAGCUUGGUGGUGCUCUAUGAAUUUUAAUUUACUUCUAAUGCGACUCACAAUAUGCACUUAAGAUACCGACCCUCUGCUACCCCAUUCUACACAUCAUUAGCAUUCAUACUAGAAGCAUUUCAAAAAGCCCUUUGCCUAGUCCUUCUCCAGGCUGAUGGGUCCCUAUGGUAACAAAAGAGCCUGGGCUUGGGACUGACAAAAAGACACUUGAGCUUCUUUCAAGUCUUGGAGGGGUCUGGAGGAGCCAGAUGUAUGCAUAGAGGAAGCCAGAUGUGUAAACAGAAGAGAGAAAAUCAUGCAGAUGAUGCCACUCCUUUCUAGAAUUUGUUUACAGAGAGGUCACAUGAGGAAGAAGAGUUGCAUGGAGGGUGUGUAGCAUGUAGGAUAGAGGAUAGUCAUACACAAUAGGCCCUUUCUGCUGGAUGAAUCACAUGACACUCAGUCCCUUCUCUGUGUAGACUUGGAGGGCUGGGAUGAUGACAUGAUGAAGGGAGAGAGAUAGAGAGAGAGAAAGUCACAGUUCUGUUUCUCACUGAAACUGUGAAUAUUGUAAAUAGUUUUCCAGGGAUUUAGGAAGGAUGCCAGGAGAAUUCUUGAGUGGCAGGUUACUUGCUUUCCAACUGACUACUAUCCAACUGGCAAAUGUAUCCAAAUCUACAUACAAGUAAAGUAGCACUAUAUUCCAUGCACCUAGAGGGUCAAGGUCCUGCAAAGUUAUUUUAAAGUUAUCCAGUUCACUAAACUGUGCUUUUCUGUAUGCAGUAACAAUUAUCUUAACUGUUGAAAGUUAAAUAAUUGUUACUCAAUAUCUGACAGUGUUCCAAAUGAUCCAGAACAUCACCAAAAAAUGAUUGAACUAAAGAAUACUAUAUACA